UUUCCCAAAACUCCAUCUCUCCCUAAAUCUGAAACCCCAUAUCUAUUGCUCACAAACCCUAAUCCCCAACUCCAUCUCUCUAAGCUUGGAUUGUGUUGCAUCAUUGCCAGAAAGCAUGGGUUGGGUUGUAUUCCUCGCCGUCGGCGUCGUCUCUAAGCAGUUCAAGCCCCGCAUCUCUUGCUCAGCAACCCUAAUCCCCAACCCCCAUUGAAGCAUAGAUUGGGUUGCUUUCCUCAUCGUCGAAUAUCAAAGGAAUUGUCCAACAUAGAAGGAGAAUGGGUAGUUGUCCAUUUGAGGAAGGAUUUGUUCAGUGAUCUUAUAAACCAACAUUCUAUGAUGUGACGCGAACUAGGGAACUGCUAAGUAGGCUAUCUGAAGAUACACAAAUCAUAAAAACUGCUGCAACAACCAAUCUGUUGGUAGGCCUACAUAAUCCUACCACAACACGUAUCCGUCUUGGCUUAUGUUUACAACCUCAUGGAAAUUGACCUGUGAGUACCUAUAUUGCAUAUUCGGUGUUUACUAUUUUAAUGGAUAUCUUGCGAAAAGGAUAUGUAAAUUAUGAAGAAUAUCUCGUCUUUAAGACAUUUGAACAAUCAAAGUGGGCAUGUAGAUUUGUAUGAAUAUAUAAUGCCCAUAUUAUUCCAGGGCCUUUAUUC